rnacentral:rRNA from 1 species
AAAGGUUACUUCGGUACAUCGGUGACAGGUGGUGCAUGGUUGUCGUCAGCUCGUGUCGUGAGAUGUUGGGUUAAGUCCCGCAACGAGCGCAACCCCUAUUGUUAGUUUGCCAUCAUUCAGUUGGGCACUCUAGCGAGACUGCCGGUAAUAAACCGGAGGAAGGUGGGAUGACGUCAAAUCAUCAUGCCCCUUAUGACCUGGGCUACACACGUGCUACAAUGGUUGGUACAACGAGUUGCGAGUCGGUGACGGCGAGCUAAUCUCUUAAAGCCAAUCUCAGUUCGGAUUGUAGGCUGCAACUCGCCUACAUGAAGUCGGAAUCGCUAGUAAUCGCGGAUCAGCACGCCGCGGUGAAUACGUUCCCGGGCCUU